rnacentral:rRNA from 1 species
AUGCUCUAUGAAAUCCACUCCCAUGCCCAAAUCCAAGACCUGCAGGCCCGCUCCGAUGAGCUGGGCCACUCCAAUGAGCACAUGGAUGUGAAGCUUGUCUCUCUGGAGUCGGUGCGCAUAGCGCGCGAGUCGUAUGCACUCCUCUGGCCGCUGACCAAGGAGCCGAUGUCCUGGGCAUGCCUGGAGCUGGAUUCCCUCUCGGUCGUGGCAACCUUGUCGCUGGAAAUCCAAAAGCUCGAGCAUGAUGUGUUACCCCAGCUCAUGGUUCAGGAGUCCAAGCUGGAACGGGGCGCCCUGGAAGCCCUCCUAGUCAUGCAGAACUCAGCAAUUAAGCUCUUACAUCUGGCGAAGUGCUUUAAGGAAUCCUUGGGCAUAUUGCAGGAUCUGGUCUCAUGCCGAGCCGAAGAUGUGAGCAUAAUGUUAAAUGAUAUUGUUCUUCAUGUACUCCGAGGUAACAUUUCCUGGCUUCAGGCGCGUCUCCCGGUGCUGGCCGGGCUGGUCACCAUUAUGUUGGAGACCCCGGUUCGUUUCUGUGAUUCUGAUGAGUAG